CACGAGGGCUCGCCUUCGAUGCGUACGGGUACGCCGCCGCCGCCUCUGCACGCGGCCUCUCCGGCCAGCCGCCGCCGCCUCCGCGCGCAGCCUCUCCGGCCAGCCGUCGCCGCUGCCGCGCGCAGCCUCUCUGCCAUCCGCCUGUUCUCCUUCCCCUCCCCAUCCGUCCCAAUCUUCUCGGGCGCCACCUGAAGCCUCUUCAACCUCCAAUCUCAUGCUGUCAAGCCCUUCUAAUCUCGCCGGAACAUGGACUUAACUGGAAUGCCGUCCUGCUAGCCGUGCCCACUUGAGCCAGGAGAGAGUGGUGAGGCGGCUUAGGUGAGGCUCAGGACGGCGUCUCACAUGUAACUACGCAACUGCUGCAUCUCUAUGCUAAUCCGAGUGCAGUACUCUGCACAAUGCUCUACUUCCCUCAAAAAUAUCUGUUGAAUGCCCCACUGGUUUGCACUUAUGAUGUCUGACAGUAUGCCUAAGCAGUGACCGCAUCCAUGCUGAUAUACAGUUCUUUGUCUUGUCUAUGAGUAUUAUGAUAUAUGAGAUGCUUGAAUGAAGGGAUCCUUAAUUAAUUUGUCCACAAGUAGCCCAAGAAUUUGGGAGUUUAGGGUUUGUUAUGAGUAGUUAGCUGCCUGUGAUGUGUGCCCAAACAAAUUGUCAUGUUUGUGGUAAAUCAUUAUGAACAUUUGUUUUUC